AGAGUUUGAAUCUAUUUCUUUACAUGAAGAGGACCGAGGGAUGAAAAAAGCAAAACUGAGAAUCUGAAACCAGACUGCUUGCUGAGAAAUAAAUGAAUGAUCAUGAUCAUCAUGUGGAGGCAGACAUUCAAGGAAAAUUGCUUAAUAGAGACCAGAGAUCAAACUUUUGGUUAUUUGGAGAACUGGAGAAAAAGAGGCCCUUUCUGUUAUAAUGGAAAAUAACUUACUGGUAACAGCAAUAAUCUCAACAGUUUUAUUACUUCAUGUACAUAGGUAAAUAUCACUUUGCUUUCCUGUACAAUACAUUUCAAAUUUCCAACAGUGAAAA